CAGUAGCCACGGGAAUACAGAGGGUGCGAGCGUUAAUCGGAUUUACUGGGCGUAAAGCGUGCUUAGGCGGCUUCUUAAGUCGGAUGUGAAAUCCCUGAGCUUAACUUAGGAAUUGCAUUCGAUACUGGGAAGCUAGAGUAUGGGAGAGUAUGGUAGAAUUCCAGGUGUAGCGGUGAAAUGCGUAGAGAUCUGGAGGAAUACCGAUGGCGAAGGCAGCCAUCUGGCCUAAUACUGACGCUGAGGUACGAAAGCAUGGGGAGCAAACAGGAUUAGAUACCCCUGUAGUCCCUGUCUCUUAUAU
rnacentral:rRNA from 1 species